UUCAGCUGCUGCUGGCCACUUUGAUGCAUUAAGGGCCCCAAUUUCUAGCAUGCAAUCGGCAGCCUUGAUCCUUCGUCGGAGAUACUUUAAAAGCCACUUAAUUUGUCAUUCUUCUUCUUUAUUUCUUCCAUUGAAGCUUUCUGUAAAUAGAGAGAAAAGAAGUGAACGAGAGAGAAGAAAAGAUAGCAGACCUAAGAGGAAGUGAAGCAGGCUUGCUUGGUAUGGCGUCUUCAUCCUCUCACUGUUUCUCUAAUCGUUUCCUAGACUAGAGAACGUUAAAAAUUACGAAAUUUCGUGAGUGUUUAGGCUUAUAUCUUAGCUAAAUUCCAGAAAAAAUAGAUGACUAAAAGCUCUCUCCGUGAAGGAGAUAUCCAAGGACAAACACCAGUAGCUCAGUUAUAGAGACAACAUCUAACGAAGAUUUAGAAUCAAGAAUUAGGUCAAAUGGAUUAUCCUUGAAGGAGAAACAAUUCCCCAACCACCGAGUGGUCUUGCAUGCAACUCUGGAAACUUUUACAUAUUAUUCGAGCUCAAACCUUCUAUCUUGAGAGAGAAACAAAGGAAAAACUACUAGACACGCGGGCUGUUUCUGGACAAAAACUGUGAGUGACCAAUUCGUGUGUUCAUAGCAAUUCCUUCGUGCGUUUUGACUUCUAAUUAGUGCGUUUUUGAGGUAAGAGGGAUAGUAAUCUAAUUAUUACAUAUAUUGAAUUUUAUAAAUGCAUCUAGAUGAUUAUUUAAACAUGUAAAUUUGAAAUGCUUGUUGUUUUCCGAAAAUGAAUCUAUGUAUAUUGUUGAAGCAUUUAAAUAAUUUAAAUUGAUGUUUUAAUCUUAAUGUAUUGUUGUUUAAAUAAUUUAAAUGCUGCUCGAAGGCCCACAGCCUUCUGUUGAGCAGCCCAAGUGCGGAAGUACCGGCAAAGUGGGUCUGACCGCAGGUGCGGAAAAAUAUUCUCCUUCCACGGGUUGAGGGAAA